ensembl:misc_RNA Metazoa_SRP Metazoan signal recognition particle RNA
GCUGGGUGUGGUGGCACUUGCCUGUAGUCCCAGCUACUGGGGAAGCUGAGGCCAGAGGAUUGUUUGAGACCAUGAAUUCUGGCUUAUAAUGUGCUAUGCCGUUCUGGUGCCUGCAUUAAGUUUGGCAUCAAUAUAGUGUCGUCCUGAGAGCAGGGGACUACAAGGUUGCUUAAGCAGAGGUGAACUGACCCAGGUUGGUAGCAGGGCAGGUCAAAACUGCUGUGCUGGUUAGCAGUGGGAUUGCAUCUGUGAAUAGCCACUGCACUCCACUGUGGCUGACAUGGUGAGGCCCUGUCUGC